ACCCCCCUUCCCCGCACCCCACACUCCACACCCCCUUCUCUUUCUCUAAAAAGGUCGCUCGGCCUUCUGCUUUCUCCUUUGGCAUUAUUUAUGGAAGCAUUAAACUCAAGUACCUUAAGAUGGUGUGAAAAGAUAUUGUCAGAUACUUCAUCCAGCCCAUUAUAGCAAUGGCAAAGCCACCAAUUUGACGAGAGGUAUAGAAAA